rnacentral:ncRNA from 10 species
UACUGAAAGUAUUGUGGGAAAUAAUGUGUAAAUCAUUGACCGUUCCUGCGCUGGUAAGAAUAAANUUUUAGUCCAGACACCACCAGUAUAGCCCUCUGUCGAAUGACGACCAGGAAAAGUCUAGUUCUACAAUGAAAAA